CAGAUGGGAGUUGAAAAGAGAUUGAAAAUGAGAAAGUCCAAAGACAUUAAUUUCCUCUCAGAACAAAUAAAUUAGAGUGUCUGGGGACACCUGAUUAAAGUUCCUUACCAGAGAUGAGGGAACUAAAAUGUAGUUUCCUUCCCUUCACUGCGCACUAAGUGCUUUAGAGCACACACAUGCUCACCUGAAAUUGUCAUUAGCUAGAGAAGGAAACUGAGAGGAGGUGGCUAUAUGAGGCUGCACUAGGAUCUUAGUCCCAGCAAUGGACAUCUGAGCAAUCCACAUGAAGGAGGAGCGUGCAUGCACUGUGUGGCUACUCGUGACGGCUGCCCCAGUCCUCCAUCCGCUUUCAGGAACACCAUUCUUGAAGGCUGUGCUCCUGGCUCUGUCCCCGCCCAGGAAGCAUGGGAUACCGUCAGAAAAAAUGAGAGUCCGUCCUCAGGAGGAGAAAAGACCUGGAGAUUAAGCGUUUUGCAACAGGAUCAUUGAGGUUCCACGUACGCUGAUGAGCCUGUGCAGUGUGAAAGCAUCAGCAAGGGGGGAUGGGAGGGUGCUGGUCUAGCACCUCUUGACUUCCCCUCUUGACCACAGUUAUCAAUUCUUCAGCUCUACAUGUGUGUGCGCCUCUAGCAGAAAUUCCCCAGGGCAGAUAAGUACUGCCUGUGGAUAGGCAGCCUCGCGUUCACACGGCACCAGGAGCCCGCUCUCUACGGAGCCACCCGUGAGAGUCAGCACAGAGACUCUCCAAGCAGCCGCACUUCAACCCGAUGGGAUGGAAAGCGCAGCCAGAUGGAGUGUUACUGCUCAGUUCCGAGCACUCUGGGGAGACUCUGGAUUCCCUUCUUUCUGGGUGUAAAUAAAGGACCGAUUUCUCUACCGACCUGCACAUGAAAAUCAUCCUUUUGGAGCAAUGACCCCCUUUUACUCCCAGCAUUUCUCUGUCUCCAAGCUUGUUCUAACUGGCUUUAAAACAUAACCAAAGAGUGAACCUAGGCUACUGUCCCAUUGCAAAGUGGCUUGGUUUUAUCUGCCUUAUGUUUGCUAAAUUUCGAUGUGAUGCAAUGUAACCUCUUGUAUUCCUUCAGGGAAAUGACAUGACAGCCCUUUGCCAUUUGCUGCCUCCUGCCCUCACCGGGGGCAUCACAACCCAUGACAGCGAGAUGCUACUUUUGAACCCUGCCAUGAAUUUUGACACCGUUUCUAAUUUAAAUCAGGGCGUGAGCAUAUACUUGCAGGGUAGAGAAUGAUUGGUAUGAUCCUACCUUAUAUCUUCUCUAAACGAGAAGGUUUGGGCCCUAAAUAUUUAAUGGCUUCUUUAGGUAAAUGCAGCUACCUAGUACUUUAACACUAUCACCUUCAUUUCAACCCCCACCCCCAUUAGCUUAAAAAAAUCACUAGGAUUCAUCCAGAGGCUGUGCAUGGUAAACAGUGGAUGCGUAUAUAGGGCCUGAUGCUGAGCCCCCCCAGAUCCAUCCAAGUCAGCAUAUGGGACAAAGAGCACGGGGACGUAGCAUGAACUCUGCGCAUCUCUGGCUUAGGCAUUUCUGUACAGAACUGACCAUCAUAGAGCGCCUGAGUGCUGAACACAGGGACUACCUUUUAGCUGGGUCUCAAUGCGCAAGCUUGAUGAAUCGGUUUAAUCCUUGCUAAAUUCUAAAAAAUAGAUAUCUGCAAUGAAUCGGUGUUUUCACUGUCCAUUUCAGACGUGUCUAGUCAUUAAUCUUUCCACUCAUGCCAAAGAAUAUCUAAUGAGCUGCUGCUGCUUGGAACUGGGGCUUGCUGCACACAUCCCUAAUACCUCUAUUAUUGUGUCGGCUGAGUGGGUGGGUGAAACGUGUAUCUAGGUGCUCAUGCUGCUCUGUCUCCUCUCUAGCUUCUUAUUUAGGAUGAGCAGAUAUCCUGUUUUGGCCAGGACAGUCCCUUUUUUAAGCCCUGUCCCAGCCGUCCCGACUUUUUUGGCAAAAGUGGGCAUUUGUCCCAUUUGCUCUUGCCAACUUGAUCGGCUGGCAAGAGCAAACGGGACAAAUGCUCACUUUUGUCAAAAAAGUGGGGUGCGGUGCGAAGGAAUGUGCAGGGGGGUGAGCGGAGAUGCCAGCCCCGUGCAAGGGGUAGGCAGGGCUCCGGUGGGAGGGCCGGCAUGGUUCCAGUGAUCAACGAUAGUCUUGCCAGGGGCUUUGGCCAGCCCCACGCAGUGUCCCAUUUUCCCUUUGGGAAAUAUGGUCAUCCUAUUCUUAUUCAUGUUGUCCAAGAUCUCAUAGCAGGAGGGGAGGUUGCUUUAUCCAUCCCUGAAUCCCUUUUCUUAGCAGCAAGAUGCGCUUGUUUGAACGGAGAGCGAGCGCUAGCAAGCCAGAGUCUCGCACUAACAUGCUUGAACACCAGAGGAAUAGAACACGUUGUUCUGCUAGCUCCGCUGCACCUUCUGCAGAGGGUUGAAAGCCAAGGGAUAGAUCUGCCAGCCCCAUGAGUCUGCAAUGGCCUUUCAACGGUUGGAGACAAAAUCCUGCGGUGAGCCCCCGCUUCUCUGCCCAAAUAAAAUUUAUUAACCUUAAAA